rnacentral:lncRNA from 1 species
GACGAUUCUACAAGUAAAUUGAGCUUCUGUCUGUACACCCACAUUCUGCUAUGACAGAGGUUUUGUUGUUGUUGCUGUUGUUUCAUAAUUAGAUUUGGUGAACAAAACACAUGCAUUUUGCCGAGACUCUACACAGUUGGACCGAUCCGAUCCAACACAGGCUCGAGAGGGUUCUCAUGGCAGGAGCAGGUUGUGAGGAAGAUGGAUCACUGAGCCGGAUGGAGGAACAGAUGCCCUGGAGGACGAAUCACCAGUAAUGACGGCCAUGGUUUCACCACCACUGACAAAUUCCAGACCUCAUGUUGGAACAACAGAGCUGUUUCUGAAGUGCUCACCCACAGAGACCCAUGGACUGAUGGAGGAAGUGUUCAGCUACAGAGUAUCCCCAAGAAUUACAGCCUCUCAUACCCUGGUACCAGGAGAAAUAACUGAGGGAUGGGGACAUCACUGUACAUUUCAGAUGGAUUCACCCAGCAGGAGAAUUGAGGGUGCACCGGAAAGAGAAAACAAGAACAAAAGACAAAGGGAAGGAUUGGGGACACAGAAAAGAAGGGAGCUGGAACGGCCAAAGCAUCUUUAUGUAAUUAAACAUAGUUUAUCCAUACACUUACACGCCCCCAA